rnacentral:rRNA from 1 species
GGAUUAGGCAUGCAAGUCGCACGAGAAAGGUUUCUUCGGAAGCCGAGUACAGUGGCGAACGGGUGAGUAAUGCAUAGACAACUCGCCCUUGAGAUGGGGACAACGCCUCGAAAGGGGUGCUAAUACCCAAUGCCGCCUUGGGCCCGCGGGUCCAGGGUGAAAGGAGGCCUCUGAUUCAAGCUUCCGCUCAAGGAGAGGUUUAUGUCCUAUUAGCUAGUUGGCGGGGUAACGGCCCACCAAGGCUGCGAUGGGUAGCCGACCUGAGAGGGUGACCGGCCACAUUGGGACUGAGACACUGCCCAGAUUCCUACGGGAGGCUGCAGUCGAGAAUCUUCCGCAAUGCGCGCAAGCGUGACGGAGCGACGCCGCGUGGGUGAUGAAGGCCUUCGGGUUGUAAAACCCUGUCAGCUACUACGAAACACGGGCGAUGAACAAUCGUCCCGUCUGACUUAAGUAGCAGAGGAAGCACCGGCUAACUACGUGCCAGCAGCCGCGGUAAUACGUAGGGUGCAAACGUUGUUCGGAAUCACUGGGCAUAAAGGGCGCGUAGGCGGUCUGAUAAGUCGGGUGUGAAAUCCCUCGGCCUAACCGAGGAACUGCAUUUGAUACUGUCGGGCUAGAGUACAGGAGGGGAGAGUGGAAUUCCUGGUGGAGCGGUGAAAUGCGUAGAUAUCAGGAGGAACGCCGGCGGCGAAAGCGACUCUCUGGCCUGUUACUGACGCUGAGGCGCGAAAGCUAGGGGAGCAAACGGGAUUAGAUACCCCGGUAGUCCUAGCCCUAAACGAUGGGCACUAAGUAGAGGGGUUUU